GGGGCUGUGGCUCAGUGGUAGAGUGCUUGCCUAGCAUGCGUGAGGCACUGGGUUCAAUCCUCAGCACCA
rnacentral:tRNA from 1 species